rnacentral:rRNA from 1 species
UACAGAGGUCCCAAGCGUUGUUCGGAUUCAUUGGGCGUAAAGGGUGCGUAGGCGGCGCGGUAAGUCGGGUGUGAAAAUCUCGGGGCUUAACUCCGAAACUGCAUUCGAUACUGCCGUGCUUGAGGACUGGAGAGGAGACUGGAAUUACGGUGUAGCGGUGAAAUGCGUAGAUAUCGUAAGGAAGACCAGUGGCGAAGGCGGGUCUCUGGACAGUUCCUGACGCUGAGGCACGAAGGCCAGGGGAGCAAACGGG